rnacentral:rRNA from 1 species
GAAUGCUGACAUAAGUAACGAUAAAGCGGGUGAAAAGCCCGCUCGCCGGAAGACCAAGGGUUCCUGUCCAACGUUAAUCGGGGCAGGGUGAGUCGACCCCUAAGGCGAGGCCGAAAGGCGUAGUCGAUGGGAAACAGGUUAAUAUUCCUGUACUUGGUGUUACUGCGAAGGGGGGACGGAGAAGGCUAUGUUGGCCGGGCGACGGUUGUCCCGGUUUAAGCGUGUAGGCUGAUUUUCCAGGCAAAUCCGGAAAAUCAAGGCUGAGGCGUGAUGACGAGGCACUACGGUGCUGAAGCAACAAAUGCCCUGCUUCCAGGAAAAGCCUCUAAGCAUCAGGUAACAUCAAAUCGUACCCCAAACCGACACAGGUGGUCAGGUAGAGAAUACCAAGGCGCUUGAGAGAACUCGGGUGAAGGAACUAGGCAAAAUGGUGCCGUAACUUCGGGAGAAGGCACGCUGAUAUGUAGGUGAAGCGACUUGCUCGUGGAGCUGAAAUCAGUCGAAGAUACCAGCUGGCUGCAACUGUUUAUUAAAAACACAGCACUGUGCAAACACGAAAGUGGACGUAUACGGUGUGACGCCUGCCCGGUGCCGGAAGGUUAAUUGAUGGGGUUAGCGGUAACGCGAAGCUCUUGAUCGAAGCCCCGGUAAACGGCGGCCGUAACUAUAACGGUCCUAAGGUAGCGAAAUUCCUUGUCGGGUAAGUUCCGACCUGCACGAAUGGCGUAAUGAUGGCCAGGCUGUCUCCACCCGAGACUCAGUGAAAUUGAACUCGCUGUGAAGAUGCAGUGUACCCGCGGCAAGACGGAAAGACCCCGUGAACCUUUACUAUAGCUUGACACUGAACAUUGAGCCUUGAUGUGUAGGAUAGGUGGGAGGCUUUGAAGUGUGGACGCCAGUCUGCAUGGAGCCGACCUUGAAAUACCACCCUUUAAUGUUUGAUGUUCUAACGUUGGCCCGUUAUCCGGGUUGCGGACAGUGUCUGGUGGGUAGUUUGACUGGGGCGGUCUCCUCCUAAAGAGUAACGGAGGAGCACGAAGGUUGGCUAAUCCUGGUCGGACAUCAGGAGGUUAGUGCAAUGGCAUAAGCCAGCUUGACUGCGAGCGUGACGGCGCGAGCAGGUGCGAAAGCAGGUCAUAGUGAUCCGGUGGUUCUGAAUGGAAGGGCCAUCGCUCAACGGAUAAAAGGUACUCCGGGGAUAACAGGCUGAUACCGCCCAAGAGUUCAUAUCGACGGCGGUGUUUGGCACCUCGAUGUCGGCUCAUCACAUCCUGGGGCUGAAGUAGGUCCCAAGGGUAUGGCUGUUCGCCAUUUAAAGUGGUACGCGAGCUGGGUUUAGAACGUCGUGAGACAGUUCGGUCCCUAUCUGCCGUGGGCGCUGGAGAACUGAGGGGGGCUGCUCCUAGUACGAGAGGACCGGAGUGGACGCAUCACUGGUGUUCGGGUUGUCAUGCCAAUGGCACUGCCCGGUAGCUAAAUGCGGAAGAGAUAAGUGCUGAAAGCAUCUAAGCACGAAACUUGCCCCGAGAUGAGUUCUCCCUGACUCCUUGAGAGUCCUGAAGGAACGUUGAAGAC